rnacentral:miRNA from 1 species
CUACCUACUUUGCUCAUCUUUG